rnacentral:rRNA from 1 species
AGCAGCCGCCGCGGGAAUACGAAGGGGGCUAGCGUUGUUCGGAAUUACUGGGCGUAAAGCGCACGUAGGCGGACAUUUAAGUCAGGGGUGAAAUCCCGGGGCUCAACCCCGGAACUGCCUUUGAUACUGGGUGUCUAGAGUAUGGAAGAGGUGAGUGGAAUUCCGAGUGUAGAGGUGAAAUUCGUAGAUAUUCGGAGGAACACCAGUGGCGAAGGCGGCUCACUGGUCCAUUACUGACGCUGAGGUGCGAAAGCGUGGGGAGCAAACAGGAUUAGAUACCCGUGUAGUCCCUGUCUCUUAUAC